rnacentral:lncRNA from 1 species
GUACUCUUCGAUGGUUUUGCAAUGUAGUAGAGGGAUUUGGUACUUUUUUAUUGCCUUUUAAAUACAAACUACGUUCAGGUUGACCACAAAUUAUUGACGGUAUAUACAGAGAGACGACAUUUUGAGACCGACCAACAACUUUCAUCUUCCAUCUGGAAAGAUGAUUAUUUUUUUAGAUGAUAUAUCUUGUCUGCUUCAUAUUCCACUCGAUGGUAAGCUGCUUAACCAUGUGUUGGGGUUGUCUUUUUUUUUUUUAAUCGGCUAAAUUUUAUUAAUGGACAAAAUCCCUAAACAAGAAGUAUAAGGGAUUGUCGAAACAAACAAAGAAACGACUCAAGGUGAUGGAAACACCUUAGCCAAACAACAAUCUCAAUCCUCCCCAUACAAUACAACCUAAAACCAAAAACGAAACAAUGAAACUGAAGUGAAGCAGCAUAGAAACAUCUCCCACCGAAAACACCAUUGUCGAAUCAGUCCUUUUCAAACAAAAGAAAAUGCCAACAAUUAAACACACUCCACACAGAUCC